AAGGUAUUGUAAUAAGAUUUUAAUUGAAUGCUAAAAGAAUGGAAGUUUAGAAAAAGUCUUUUUAAAAAAUAAAAAUUAAAAUUUUUUUAAUUUGUGCAGAAACAAUUAUUUAUAUUAAAGACAAGAAGACCCUAAGAAUUUUCUGGUUCAAUAAUUUAUAUAUUUAAUUUAUUAAACCUUGGUUGGGGCGAUCAAAAAAUAUUAAUAACUUUUUUUCAUUAAAAUGAUCUAUUAUUAAUAAAUUAAUGAAUUAAAUACUCUAGGGAUAACAGCGUAAUAAUUUUUGAUAGAUCUUAUAGACAAAAUAGUUUGCGACCUCGAUGUUGGAUUAGGAUUCUUUUUUGGUGAAGAAACCAAAAAAAGAAGUUUGUUCAACUUUUAAACUCCU
rnacentral:rRNA from 1 species